rnacentral:rRNA from 1 species
UAACAAGGAUUCCCCUAGUAACUGCGAGUGAAGCGGGAAAAGCUCAAAUUUAAAAUCUGGCGGUCUUUGGCCGUCCGAGUUGUAGUCUGGAGAAGUGCUUUCCGCGCUGGACCGUGUAUAAGUCUCUUGGAACAGAGCGUCAUAAAGGGUGAGAAUCCCGUCUUUGACACGGACUACCAGUGCUUUGUGAUGCGCUCUCAAAGAGUCGAGUUGUUUGGGAAUGCAGCUCAAAAUGGGUGGUGAAUUCCAUCUAAAGCUAAAUAUUGGCGAGAGACCGAUAGCGAACAAGUACCGUGAGGGAAAGAUGAAAAGCACUUUGGAAAGAGAGUUAAACAGUACGUGAAAUUGCUGAAAGGGAAACACUUGAAGUCAGUCGCGUCUGCCGGAACUCAGCCUUCCUUUUGGUUGGUGCACUUUCUGGUAGACGGGCCAGCAUCGAUUUUGACCGUUGGAUAAGGGCUGGAGAAAUGUGGCACCUUCGGGUGGGUUAUAGUCUUCAGUCGCAUACAACGGUUGGGAUCGAGGAUCGCAGCGCGCCGCAAGGCAGGGGUUCGCCCACUUUCGCGCUUAAGAUGCUGGCAUAAUGGCUUUAAAUGACCCGUCU